AAGACGGGUCUCACUAAAACGCUUACGGAAUUUGCAUACAAUAUAGAUAACGUUGAUAACUGCAUACGAUAUGAACAAAGAAGGAAAUUGCAGACGUGAAGAAAUCCAAUGAUAUACAUGUAGGGGCAUGUGUCCAAAGCUGAUCCACAUCAUAACAUACUGAUUGGGAAUAAUGACAUAGUACCAAAAGAUGUGCUUAUACUGUAAUUAGCAGAUCUUCACAAAUGAACCUGGCAGAUCCUGGUGCAACCUUACCGUACCAUGUUUACAUCUAACCGUCAGUUUGAGCUGUGUGUGGGUGGUAACACGGACUAUAUACAUGUAUUGCCCAGUAAUUGUCUUGUGAUGGACCUUUUUAACAUAUCAAGUAUUUAAUUGAAGACUUAAGAGGUCAGUUUUCAUCAAAGAAUUUAAAAGUACAGUUUUAUUUGUAAGGGUGAAUAUGUGGUUAUAAUGGCAUUGAUGUAUAUCUUGUGUCUGUUUUUUAAUCAGCCUUUCAUCCAUAAUUAUGAAUAUUAAGCAUGAUAAAGUAUUUUAAGGGAAUAUAAUGUAGAAAUGUUAUGUUGUUUCUGCACAAGCAUUUGAAUACAAGAAAUUCUAUGCUCACUCAGCACUGUUUACACAUUGUCAAUGAAUUUGCUUGUUUUAGUUUCCAAAUCUGUCUGUCUCUAGCUCCCUGUGAAUAAUGUACUUUUUUACAUUGCAUCCAUUGAUUUUAAAUGGGGUGUAUUAUGCACAUGUCACACUUUUUUUACAAAAACAUCAAGGUCAAAGGUCAAAUAUAUGGGUCAAAAUCGCUCAAAAAGGGACAUUGUGUAUUGUGUUUUACAAACACAUACCUUGUUAUGUUAUGUAAUGGCCUUUCAAUCAUCUUAUUUUUUUAUGAAAUACGCUGGAUUUGUCUUUUCAUUUCAUCCAUGAUAUCAUUAUGUUUUUUUGCCUGUUAUAUUUUGCGGCCCAAUGUACGUGUUAAGCAGUUUAACCAUUUACAACGGCAUUUGUGGCGAGGCUUACAGUCAUAAGGUUGGUCAUUACAUGCACUGCAUAUCAUAAAAUCGUUUGGCUUUUAUUGACAAAAUUUGCGAAAACGGUGUUAAAGACUAAACAUGACAAGUGUCGCAACUUCGUCCCCACCUGGGAAUUCAGAGCGCAAAUUUCAGAUUAUAAUGUGUCAGAUUUUACACUUGUAUAAUGAAGAAGUCAUCUCUUGACAAGAUGGUGAUGUCCUGAUCUCGUUCUAAGCCACACAUGAUACUUGUUUUGCUUUUAAUCAAAAUCGGUGUUAAAUAGUAAACAUAAAAAGUGUCACAAAUUCGUCCCUAUUGAGAAGUCAGAGCUAAAAUUUCUGAUUUUAAUUUGUUAGAUUUUGCACUUUGAUAAUGAAGAAGUCAUCUCUUGACAAGAUGGUGGUGUCCUUAUCUCGUGCCGAGCCACAAAUGAUUCUUGUUUUGGUUCAAAGCAACAUAUAAACGAAGAUUUUUUUAAUGUACUUUGUUUUAAAUUCUGUUCUUUGAAAAAUGCAUGUACUUUGUUUUAAAUUCUGUUCUUUGAAAAAUGCAUAAUAAGUCAUCAACUAUUAUAAUUUUAUGAAAAUAUUACUUUAAUUUUGGUUAA